rnacentral:rRNA from 1 species
GGAUUCCCCUAGUAACUGCGAGUGAAGCGGGAAAAGCUCAAAUUUGAAAUCUGGCGGUCUAUGGCCGUCCGAGUUGUAAUCUAGAGAAGUGUUACCCGCGCUGGACCGUGUACAAGUCUCCUGGAAUGGAGCGUCAUAGAGGGUGAGAAUCCCGUCUCUGACACGGACUCCCAGGGCUUUGUGGUACGCUCUCAAAGAGUCGAGUUGUUUGGGAAUGCAGCUCAAAAUGGGUGGUAAAUUCCAUCUAAAGCUAAAUAUUGGCGAGAGACCGAUAGCGAACAAGUACCGUGAGGGAAAGAUGAAAAGAACUUUGGAAAGAGAGUUAAACAGUACGUGAAAUUGCUGAAAGGGAAACGCUUGAAGUCAGUCAUGUUGGCCAGGGAUCAGCCUUGCUCUUGGGCUUGGUGCACUUUCUGGUUUGACAGGUCAGCAUCAAUUUUGACCACUGGAAAAAGGCUUGAGAAAUGUGGCAGCUCUGGCUGUGUUAUAGUCUCGGGUCAUAUACAGUGGUUGGGAUUGAGGUACUCAGCACGCCGCAAGGCCGGGUUUCGACCACGUUCGUGCUUAGGAUGCUGGCAUAAUGGCUUUAAGCGACCCGUCUUGAAACACGGACCAAGGAGUCUAACAUGCUUGCGAGUGUUUGGGUGGUAAACCCGAGCGCGUAAUGAAAGUGAAAGUUGAGAUCCCUGUCGUGGGGAGCAUCGACGCCCGGACCAGAACUUUUGGGACGGAUCCGCGGUGGAGCAUGUAUGUUGGGACCCGAAAGAUGGUGAACUAUGCCUGAAUAGGGUGAAGCCAGAGGAAACUCUGGUGGAGGCUCGUAGCGAUUCUGACGUGCAAAUCGAUCGU